rnacentral:tRNA from 1 species
GUUUGUAGCUCAGUGGUAGUGUGCUUGCCUAGUAUAUAUGAGGCACUGGGUUCAAUUCUUAGCAACACA